rnacentral:rRNA from 1 species
AUUGAACGCUGGCGGCAGGCCUAACACAUGCAAGUCGAAUGGUAACAGGAAACAGCUUGCUGUUUCGCUGACGAGUGGCGGACGGGUGAGUAAUGUCUGGGAAACUGCCUGAUGGAGGGGGUUAACUACUGGAAACGGUAGCUAAUACCGCAUAACGUCGCAAGACCAAAGAGGGGGACCUUCGGGCCUCUUGCCAUCAGAUGUGCCCAGAUGGGAUUAGCUAGUAGGUGGGGUAACGGCUCACCUAGGCGACGAUCCCUAGCUGGUCUGAGAGGAUGACCAGCCACACUGGAACUGAGACACGGUCCAGACUCCUACGGGAGGCAGCAGUAGGGAAUAUUGCGCAAUGGGCGCAAGCCUGAUGCAGCCAUGCCGCGUGUAUGAAGAAGGCCUUCGGAUUGUAAAGUUCUUUCAGCAGGGAAGAAGAGAGUAAAGUUAAUACCUGUGCUCAUUGACGUUACCCACAGAAGAAGCACCGGCUAACUCCGUG